rnacentral:lncRNA from 1 species
GGCCCUUUACACAAAGGGCGUCUCAGAUCCUCCAGGCAAUCUGAGAAAGGAUAUAAAUACACUUUCCGUGCAAGGUUCUUCUCACUACUUCUCUUGACUUGUUCUCUGCGGUACACUGAGA